rnacentral:rRNA from 1 species
UUAGAGUUUGAUCCUGGCUCAGGAUGAACGCUAGCGGCAGGCUUAACACAUGCAAGUCGAGGGGCAGCGAGAUCAGUGCUUGCACUGAUUGUCGGCGACCGGCGCACGGGUGCGUAACGCGUAUGCAACCUACCCAUUACAGGGGGAUAACACUGAGAAAUCGGUACUAAUACCCCAUAACAUCCAGGGAGGCAUCUUCUUGGGUUGAAAACUCCGGUGGUAAUGGAUGGGCAUGCGUUGUAUUAGUUAGUUGGUGGGGUAACGGCUCACCAAGACAACGAUACAUAGGGGGACUGAGAGGUUAACCCCCCACAUUGGUACUGAGACACGGACCAAACUCCUACGGGAGGCAGCAGUGAGGAAUAUUGGUCAAUGGACGCAAGUCUGAACCAGCCAUGCCGCGUGCAGGAAGACGGCUCUAUGAGUUGUAAACUGCUUUUGUACGAGGGUAAACGCAGAUACGCGUAUCUGUCUGAAAGUAUCGUACGAAUAAGGAUCGGCUAACUCCGUGCCAGCAGCCGCGGUAAUACGGAGGAUUCAAGCGUUAUCCGGAUUUAUUGGGUUUAAAGGGUGCGUAGGCGGUCGGAUAAGUUAGAGGUGAAAUCCCGGGGCUCAACUUCGGAAUUGCCUCUGAUACUGUUCGGCUAGAGAGUAGUUGCGGUAGGCGGAAUGUAUGGUGUAGCGGUGAAAUGCUUAGAGAUCAUACAGAACACCGAUUGCGAAGGCAGCUUACCAAGCUACUUCUGACGUUGAGGCACGAAAGCGUGGGGAGCAAACAGGAUUAGAUACCCUGGUAGUCCACGCAGUAAACGAUGAUAACUCGUUGUCGGCGAUACAGUGUCGGUGACUAAGCGAAAGCGAUAAGUUAUCCACCUGGGGAGUACGUUCGCAAGAAUGAAACUCAAAGGAAUUGACGGGGGCCCGCACAAGCGGAGGAACAUGUGGUUUAAUUCGAUGAUACGCGAGGAACCUUACCCGGGCUUGAAAGUUAGUGACGGAUCUUGAAAGAGGUCUUCCCUUCGGGGCACGAAACUAGGUGCUGCAUGGUUGUCGUCAGCUCGUGCCGUGAGGUGUCGGGUUAAGUCCCAUAACGAGCGCAACCCCUACCGUUAGUUGCCAGCAGGUCAAGCUGGGCACUCUGACGGGACUGCCGGUGUAAGCCGAGAGGAAGGUGGGGAUGACGUCAAAUCAGCACGGCCCUUACGUCAGGGGCUACACACGUGUUACAAUGGCAGGUACAGAGGGCAGCUGCCCAGCGAUGGGAUGCGAAUCUCGAAAGCCUGUCUCAGUUCGGAUUGGAGGCUGAAACCCGCCUCCAUGAAGUUGGAUUCGCUAGUAAUCGCGCAUCAGCCAUGGCGCGGUGAAUACGUUCCCGGGCCUUGCACACACCGCCCGUCAAG